GAAGUAAUUUACACGAUCGGAUGCACGACAAAGAAGAUGGCACAGGUGUUGGCAGUACCAGGAGAUGUUAGACAUGGAUUUUCUUAUUAUGGCCAAUUCAACCACGACUUCGGCCGAAUAACUGGGAUAGCAGUUACAAUUAAGGGGAACAUUAUAUUAUGUGACUAUGAUAAAAAGAAUCUGAUAUUAGUUGAUCCUCUUGGAAAUUAUUUAAAGAAGCUUAACUUAGACAGUGAACCAUAUGAUGUGGAUAUAACAAGUCAAAAUAUAGGCUAUGUAACGCAACCUAACUCCAGAUCGGUCUUACAGAUAGACCCUGACAGUAUGAUCGUACUAUUCCAAGCAACAUGCAACGAAGUAGGCACUACCGUGUUUUGUGUUUCAGCAGUCCCAAAUACUGGAAGGUGUUUUACAGAAAAAGUUUCAUGUUAUCUUGGCGUUAAAAUACAUGCAUUUUUGUAUGCAUUUCCUGUAAAUUUUGAUCAAAUUAACAUCACAGGCGUAGAAGAAAAUGGAUACGAAAUUGGUUCAUGUGUUUUAAAAUUCCAUACAGUUAAUGAAGAUUCUUGGUUAUCUUGCAUAGGAGGUCAAAACUAUAUUACGUAUAACGAAGGAUUGGAAAAUCGAAUUAAGAUAGAUAAUAUUGCCACCAUAGAUACACCCAAUGACAUAUGCUCCGACGACAACGGUCACAUCUAUGUCAGUGGACAGGGAUCGAACAACAUCCACAGACUAGCAGGAUAUUUGAAUCGGCAGAUCGGAAAAUUUGAAACGGAAAAGAAUUGGAAAGUAUUAGACAUACCAUUGGAUUCAAAACAUGGAAUCAAGGAACCUGUUGCCUUGUGCUUCAACCAAGACUAUAGUAAACUGUAUAUUGUCAACGAAUGGGGGAAAUCGGUUUUGGUAUUUGAUGUUUUUUGAUGAUUCAUUACAAAUACUUUGGAUUCAUAAUUAUUCGUGGGGUACCAAUUUUUGUAAUUUUCGUUGGUAUAGCCAAACCACGAAUUUGAAUGUUCAACAAAGUAUAAAUUUCUUUAGACUUGUAUGCAAUCUGGUAAAACCUUGAAAAUAAAUAUCCGCGAAAAUAAAUGAAGUUUCCCAAAUCAACAAAAAUUGAUACCCACAAAAAUAAAGGAAUCCACAAUACAUUUUUUCUGUUUCAUUUAAUAUUAUUGUCUGUUGAUUAUAAUUUAAAAAAAACUAGUUUAUAUAUGUGCGAUAUAUAAACAAUGCACAUCCACAGUGAGAUCGGCAUCUUGCAAACAAUCAUAUUGCUUCCAAUUGUCAAAAUUAAACAGAAAUCAUUUAGUAUUUAUUUAUCGAAUUGAACUGAUUAGAAUUGGAAGACCUUUGUUAUUGGUUAGUGAUAUUCAAUAAUAAAAUGAAUUGGGAUAAAUUUAGUAUAUUCUCCAUUGGCACUGAAGCUACAGGUAUAUGUCAUAGUAGUCUCGGCUUGCCACUUCGAACUGCUUAUCUUCAUUCUUGUUUUACUUCAAUGAGAAUCAUGUUGGUUAUUUGUGCUUCUUAUAUUUAUCUCAUCAUGCAAUAUCAUACAUAAAUGAAUUAUAUAGCAUAGUUUAUUAAAUAUGAAUCCACUACUAAUGAGAUAGAAGGAUACGUUUAAAAUAAAACAAGAGGCUCUCAAGAGCCUGAAUCGCUCACCUGUUAUUUUUUGCUUAAAAUCUUUCCACAAUGAUAAUUUUGCUUUUUAAUAUAUAUAUUAAUGAGUGUCUUAAAAAUUCCAUUUAAAUGUUCUUUGUAUCUGUCAUAUUUUCUUCAAAAGCGAAAAAAAUGCAUUUUACCCCCACUGUUCCAUUUUAGUCAUAGUGGUUAUGUUUCUUGACGUACAAGGAAAUAAAAAACAAAAUUUAUACUAGAUAUUCUGAAACUCAAUCAGCCAAAGUUUUGCUGAAAUUGAUUCAGCAAUUUUAAAGCAAGCAAACAAGAUGAACAAAUUCAAAAAAACUGUCUUUAAAGGGCAGUAACUCCUUAAGGGGUCGAUUGACAAUUUUGGUCAUAAAAACUUUUUUGUAGAUCUUACUUUGCUGAACAUUUUGCUAAUUACAGUUUAUCUUUAUCAUUAUUAAUAUUCAAGAUAAUAACUAAAAACUUCAAAAUUUCCUGAAAAUUACCAAUUUAGUGGCAGCAACCCAACAAUGGGUUGUUAGAUUCAUCUGAAAAUUUCAUGGCUGAUAGAACUUGACCUAAUGAACAAUUUUACUUCAUAUCAGAUGUGCUCUAAAUGCUAAAGUGUUUGAGAUACAAGCCAAAAACUGCAUUUUACCCCUAUGUUCUAUUUUAGCCAUGGCAGCCAUGUUUUUAGAUGAAACAGAAAAUAAAACACAAACUUUAUUCUAGAUACCCUAAGAAUCAUUCAGCUUAAGUUUGAUUGGAAUUGGUUUAGUAGUUUCAGAGGAGAGGAAUUUUCAAAGUUAGAAAACAUGAUAAACAAAUUGUGAAAAAUUGUCCUUAAAAUGCAAUAACUCCUUAAGGGGUCAAUUGACAAUUUUGGUCAUAUCAACUUAUUUGUAGAUCUUACUUUGCUGAACAUUUUUGCUGUUUACAGUUUAUCUUUAUCAUUAAUAUUAUUCAAAAUAAUAACCAAAAACUGCAAAAUUUCCUUAAAAUUACCAAUUUAGUGGCAGCAACCCAACAAUGGGUUAUCAGAUUCAUCUGAAAAUUUCAGGGCUCAUAAAACUUUACCUAAUGAACACUUUUAUCCCGUUAGAUUUGCUCUAAAUGCUUUGGUUUUUGAGAUAUAAGCCAAAAACUGCAUUUUACCCCUAUGUUCUAUUUUUUAGCCAUGGCAGCCAUGUUUUUUGACGAAACAGAAAAUAAAACACAAAUUUUAUUCUAGAUACCCUAAGGAUCAUUCAGCUAAAAUUUUGGUAGGAAUUGGUUCUGCAGUUUUAGAGGAAAAGAUGUUCUAAAUAGUUUACACCAGACGGACAACGACGACGGACGCCAAGUGAUGGCAAAAGCUCACCGUUCCGAAGUGAUUUAUUUGUAGCUCGAUAUUGAUAUGUUCUAAUCACAUAGAAUGUGAUAUAUUUUUGUUUCGCUAUUUGGGUUCCUUUUUUUUGUUUCUUGUGACUGUCUAAAAAGUUAGUAUAUAUAAUUGUAGCUGUUAUGUUAAACUUCAUUUACUAUAUUUUUAUGUUAAUUUUGACACGUUGAUUAUCACCCUAACAUGAAUAAUGACCAAACAAAUAACCAAAUAUCGAUAAUAAUGUUUCAUAAAUUAUUAGCUAAGAUGAAGAGAAAAAUUGAAAGUCGUUUUCUCUUACAAGUCAUAAGUGUUAUAUUAUUAUAUGGAUGUUGAUUUAACAGUAGUUUUAAUUGUAGUAUAACAGCAGCAAUUGUGUAAAGGUUCGGUUCGAUGUUGGAAAUUAACACAUGCUACACAAUGAAUUGAGAAUAAACUUUUAACAAUAAAAGAGAAUGAUUCAACACAACUAUGUUGGAAAUUGACCCAUGCUAAAACUGAAUUAAAUAGUAAUUUUUUUUUCUUUGUUAGUCUCGUCUCAAUAUUAUUUUCGUUUUGAUAUUGCUAUACACUUUUUUCACAUUAAAUUGUAAAUACUA